rnacentral:rRNA from 1 species
UACGUAGGGGGCAAGCGUUGUCCGGAUUCAUUGGGCGUAAAGCGCGUGUAGGCGGCCAGGCAGGUCCGGUGUGAAAACUCGAGGCUCAACCUCGAGAGGUCAUCGGAAACCAUCUGGCUAGAGUCCGGAAGAGGAGAGUGGAAUUCCCGGUGUAGCGGUGAAAUGCGCAGAUAUCGGGAAGAACACCUAUGGCGAAGGCAGCUCUCUGGGACGGUACUGACGCUGAGACGCGAAAGCGUGGGGAGCGAACAGG